rfam:Brachypodium distachyon strain Bd21 chromosome 3, whole genome shotgun sequence.
UUUGUACUCUCUCUGUCUCAUAUUAAGUGACUUUCUAUUACAUGUAUCUAUACGUAUUUUAGCUAUAGAUACAUUCAUGUUUGGUCAAAUUUGAAUCACUUAAUAUGAAACGGAGUGAGUAUUUG